GCUUUCCACAAACCACUCCAGCAAAUAAAGUCUCCUCUCUGAGUGCCUAAUCUUCUCCCGGUAAGCAGAAAGAGAGUGGGGCAUAAACUGCUUUCUUCCACCGCUGCCCCCAGAGGACCCCACAGUCCCACUCACGUGGCCCGUGGAGAGACCGAAACGAGACAAAUGAUACCUUGGCGAUGACUGGAGAAUCUUACGCAGAGAAAUUUAUUACGUUUUGGAAAAGUUCCGGGCAGUGGUUUUUAUCAUUAGAUCCUUUAUGCUCUUCAAGUUGCAUAAGACGCUCUGACUUCUUUUUCUUGUCGAAGCAUAACUUCCAGGUCAGCUUUAGCUGUUCAGGUGGGCAAGCCACAGCUUUUUGCUGUUGGAGGAGGUGAGGCUGACAGAAAGAGAAGAUAACCCUUAUAGUGGAGGACCUGGAAGAGAUCAUCCUCUGGAGUCAGGCAGUGAACGGUACAUGAUUAUAUCUUUUAGACACUUGUCACCUCAGAAUGCCUACCAGUUAUCAGGAACUAUGAACAUAUUCUUCUUGUACUGCUGGGGAAAACUCAGAUCUGUGACAGAAUUCCUUCCAUUGUCUCGAGAGCAAAUGCAGCAACAACUCACAUUUAUUGAGCACUUACUCAUCUAGACGCUUUACCUCAUUUUGUCUUCACCACCUUCUCAGGAAGGUACUACUGCCAGCCCCAUUUUACAGACACAUGAAGAAUGCAGGACAAGAUGACCUUUGAGGGAGCUUGCAGCCCUGUGAUUUCAUGUGACUGCUUCACUGGUAAGUAUCCCUUGAAAACGAUGUCAG
rnacentral:lncRNA from 1 species